rnacentral:rRNA from 1 species
GUGCCAGCAGCCGCGGUAAUACAGAGAGUGCAAACGUUGUUCGGAAUUACUGGGCUUAAAGCGCACGUAGGCGGCAUCGCAAGUGUCGGGUGAAAUCCCACGGCUUACCCGUGGAACUGCCCGGCAGACUGCGAUGCUCGAGUGUGGUAGGGGAGAGCGGAACUCCUGGUGGAGCGGUGAAAUGCGUAGAUAUCAGGAGGAACACCGGUGGCGAAGGCGGCUCUCUGGUCCACAACUGACGCUGAGGUGCGAAAGCUAGGGGAGCAAACGGGAUUAGAUACCCCCGUAGUCC